CGACUCGCUUCAGCAGUCGUUCUGUCACGCAGAAUUUUCGAGAAGGUCGUGUAACCUUCGGAUCUACUUCGCAAACCCCGAUUGGUUCCCGAAAUAGAUUUCGUUCUAUCUUCGACCUCCGUUUACAAUAUAGAACGUUCGCGAACCUCUCGUUUCGUCUCGCAAAUUAGUUAUUGCGAAACAUUGACACGAACGCUACGCAGCCACAUGUAACGCUUAAUGGAGAAAGGUUUUAUACAAAAGAAACUGUUUCAUCUUUGGUUGCUUUAUUUAGGUAGAGCUUGAUGCGUGUUAAUAAAUAUGCUUAGCUUCAGUGAAGAGUAAGUUAUUAUGAGUGUCGCUUAAACCAGAACAUGCCUGUAUUGAUCAACCUCCGAAAAUUUGGAAGUGCGAGUUGGAAAGAUCAUUAAAAAUUACAACAACACGCAGUGGUUUAACGUUUGCCGCAAAGAGCAAGCACAAAAUCAGUCAGUGGCCCUCUAAGCGGUACUCCAGUUACGUGACUUGCGGUGGCCGCUUGACUGAAGUUUCAGUUACCGUGUCAACAUAUAAAUUGUCCAUUUUGGAAGCAGACUUCUGAAGUGGUGUAACGGGGUACGCGGAUGAGGAGAGUACCGGAGAGUACAGGCAAAAAUAAGAAGGCAUAAAUUGUCAAGUAAAGAUACUUACAGAUGGUGUACUACAGUCGAUUCUCUUUGAGCGAGUAGUUAUGUCGCGCAGACCAUUACUGUUCGAAAAAUACCAGAAGUUUCGCCCAGCUAGAUCACUAAGCAA